AAAAAAAAAAAACCCUCUAAUUUGAAUAUUAAUUUGUCUAAAACUCUAUAUUUUAACCAUAAGAAAUCAAGAUUGAUUCAUACUUUUUGGCCUUUCGCUUUACAUCGACUUGUUGCAUUUCAGAUGUUAGUAGAUGUUAAUCUUUACAAUUUGAGCUUUCUAUGAAUCACAGAAUUCAAACUACAUUGUGGUGUUAAUUGAUGAAAAUCAAAGUGUUCAUUCUUUGCAAUUAGAAAUUUCUUCAUUUUUUGGCAUUGUUUAUAAUCUUAAGUGAAUUUUUUAUUUUUUAUUUUUUUAUAAC
rnacentral:lncRNA from 1 species